UGGGCGCAAGCCUGAUGCAGCCAUGCCGCGUGUAUGAAGAAGGCCUUCGGGUUGUAAAGUACUUUCAGCAGUGAGGAAGGUGGGUAUGUUAAUAGCAUAUUCAUUUGACGUUAGCUGCAGAAGAAGCACCGGCUAACUCCGUGCCAGCAGCCGCGGUAAUACGGAGGGUGCGAGCGUUAAUCGGAAUUACUGGGCGUAAAGCGCAUGCAGGUGGUUUGUUAAGUCAGAUGUGAAAGCCCGGGGCUCAACCUCGGAAUUGCAUUUGAAACUGGCAAACUAGAGUACUGUAGAGGGGGGUAGAAUUUCAGGUGUAGCGGUGAAAUGCGUAGAGAUCUGAAGGAAUACCGGUGGCGAAGGCGGCCCCCUGGACAGAUACUGACACUCAGAUGCGAAAGCGUGGGGAGCAAACAGGAUUAGAUACCCCGGUAG
rnacentral:rRNA from 1 species